UCAAAGGACUUCCUCAUGCCCUUCUCAUUCAGAUGUGCUCCCUGAAGAUGCAGAUUGAUUGUUGAAUGCUACUGCAGACCUCUUGAGGAAAAAUAAUUGAGUUCCUGGGGCAAUAUGGAUCCUUUUUUCUUCAUCUUCCAGAAGAAGUGCAGGUUUACAUCCUGUGGGUUUGACUGACAGUCUCAGAGGGGUUUGAGGUGCACAAAAUUGGACUACGAGCAAACUGUUGGAAGGACAUUGGCAUAUUCAUGCUUCAAAAUGCUUUUAUUACCCAGCCAAACAAACACCUGAGACUUGGUAUUGUAAGUAUUCUAAUGCAGAGGUUUGCAGUCCUGGUCCUGGAGUAUCCUUAUUUUGCAUAUUGUGUUAUUUUUCCCUGCUCGAAUCCAUCCGAUGUAACUAUUCACAAAAUUUAUUAUCUGAUCUCCCAAUUUGAUACAGCAAAAAUAAAGAGUGGCUGAAAAUGUG